CAACCCCCAGCCUCCUGGCUUCCUCCUCAGGCAUAAUGACAAUACAACCUCCAGCCUCCUGGCUUCCUCCUCAGGUAUAAUGACAAUACAACCCCCAGCCUCCUGGCUUCCUCCUCAGGUAUAAUGACAAUACAACCCCCAGCCUCCUGGCUUCCUCCUCAGGCAUAAUGACAAUACAACCUCCAGCCUCCUGGCUUCCUCCUCAGGCAUAAUGACAAUACAACCCCCAGCCUCCUGGCUUCCUCCUCAGGCAUAAUGACAAUACAACCCCCAGCCUCCUGGCUUCCUCCUCAGGUGUAAUGACAAUACAACCCCCAGCCUCCUGGCUUCCUCCUCAGGUAUAAUGACAAUACAACCCCCAGCUUCCUCCUCAGGCAUAAUGAC